GAUGAACGCUGGCGGCGUGCUUAACACAUGCAAGUCGAACGAAGCACUUUAUUACAAUUUCUUCGGAAUGACGAUUUAGUGACUGAGUGGCGGACGGGUGAGUAACGCGUGGGUAACCUGCCUUAUACAGGGGGAUAACAGUUAGAAAUGACUGCUAAUACCGCAUAAGCGCACAGGAUUGCAUGAUCUGGUGUGAAAAACUCCGGUGGUAUAAGAUGGACCCGCGUCUGAUUAGCUGGUUGGUGAGGUAACGGCCCACCAAGGCGACGAUCAGUAGCCGACCUGAGAGGGUGACCGGCCACAUUGGGACUGAGACACGGCCCAAACUCCUACGGGAGGCAGCAGUGGGGAAUAUUGCACAAUGGGGGAAACCCUGAUGCAGCGACGCCGCGUGAGCGAAGAAGUAUUUCGGUAUGUAAAGCUCUAUCAGCAGGGAAGAAAAAAAUGACGGUACCUGACUAAGAAGCCCCGGCUAACUACGUGCCAGCAGCCGCGGUAAUACGUAGGGGGCAAGCGUUAUCCGGAUUUACUGGGUGUAAAGGGAGCGCAGGCGGUGCGGCAAGUCUGAUGUGAAAGCCCGGGGCUCAACCCCGGGACUGCAUUGGAAACUGUCGUACUUGAGUAUCGGAGAGGUAAGUGGAAUUCCUAGUGUAGCGGUGAAAUGCGUAGAUAUUAGGAGGAACACCAGUGGCGAAGGCGGCUUACUGGACGAUAACUGACGCUGAGGCUCGAAAGGCGUGGGGAGCAAACAG
rnacentral:rRNA from 1 species